GGUGUUGUGGCUCAGCAGUAGAGCACUUGCCUAGUAUGCAUGAGGCUCUGGGUUCAAUCCUCAGCUUCACAU
rnacentral:tRNA from 1 species